GGAGAGAUGGCCGAGCGGCUUAAGGCGUGCGCUUGGAGAGCGUAUAACCUGAAAGGGUUCGUGGGUUCGAAUCCCACUCUCUCCG
rnacentral:tRNA from 1 species